UAGUUAACCUAGAAUAAAUUCAUCAACAGUCGUCAGUCUUGUUUGAAACAGAUAACAGAGUUUUGAAAAUUUGCAUAAUAUGUACAUGACUAUUAUUUUAUAAACCACUAUAAUUUUAAUUCGUGUUUUUACUGUUGGUUAUGGUAUUAGUUAUAAAAUGAAGUAGCAAUAAUGUAGCAUACGGUACCUAAUAAAAAAAUCUUUAUUAUAACAAGAAAGAAACUGACUUAUAUGUUGAUAACAAUAGCAUUAGGCUACUACUGCCUAUAUCGUACCUAUAUUUUGAGUUUUCUGUGGAGAACGAAUGGCUCAAGUUAAUGAAGCUAAUGAAAUAUCAAAAACCUACCAAAAAUAAAAAUGCCAUUUAUGUCUGCCUGUCACCACAUAGAAAGCUUUCCGAAAGACACAAUUCCUUGUUUCAAGAAGUUUUAUCGAUCAUCUGCAUUUCUUCACGUGAAUAACAAACGAAGGCACGCUACACUACUGCAAAUAAGUAUUUUACAGAUAUCAAAGAAAGCGGUGAAAAGAAUGAAGUUUUUGAUCCUUGAGGUGUCCUUAUGCGCGUCUCUCCUCUAGGAAAUGCUGGAAUGAAGUGCAUCUAACGGGUGAUUAUCAUAGAACAUAGUCUCAUGAACUUAUAUCAUUGUGCGAAAUAUCAAUGUGAUGACAAUUUAGUCGGUGUGCUACAUACUAUUAACUCGCCUCCUACAGGAGAAAAUGCAUAAUUUACUUUUCCAAAUAAAGCAUAAUUACAGGUACUAAAUUACACUAUAAUCUGAUUUCUGAUUUUGUCCAUUAUUUUGAUUCCAG